AUUGAACGCUGGCGGCAGGCUUAACACAUGCAAGUCGAGCGGAGAGAGGUAGCUUGCUACUGAUCUUAGCGGCGGACGGGUGAGUAAUGCUUAGGAAUCUGCCUAUUAGUGGGGGACAACAUUUCGAAAGGAAUGCUAAUACCGCAUACGUCCUACGGGAGAAAGCAGGGGAUCUUCGGACCUUGCGCUAAUAGAUGAGCCUAAGUCGGAUUAGCUAGUUGGUGGGGUAAAGGCCUACCUAGGCGACGAUCUGUAGCGGGUCUGGGAGGAUGAUCCGCCACACUGGGACUGAGACACGGCCCAGACUCCUACGGGAGGCAGCAGUGGGGAAUAUUGGACAAUGGGCGGAAGCCUGAUCCAGCCAUGCCGCGUGUGUGAAGAAGGCCUUAUGGUUGUAAAGCACUUUAAGCGAGGAGGAGGCUACUUUAGUUAAUACCUAGAGAUAGUGGACGUUACUCGCAGAAUAAGCACCGGCUAACUCUGUGCCAGCCGCCGCCGUAACAC
rnacentral:rRNA from 1 species